GAUGAACGCUGGCGGCGUGCCUAAUACAUGCAAGUCGAGCGAACGGACGAGAAGCUUGCUUCUCUGAUGUUAGCGGCGGACGGGUGAGUAACACGUGGAUAACCUACCUAUAAGACUGGGAUAACUUCGGGAAACCGUAGCUAAUACCGGAUAAUAUUUUGAACCGCAUGGUUCAAAAGUGAAAGACGGUCUUGCUGUCACUUAUAGAUGGAUCCGCGCUGCAUUAGCUAGUUGGUAAGGUAACGGCUUACCAAGGCAACGAUGCAUAGCCGACCUGAGAGGGUGAUCGGCACCACUGAAACGAGGACACGUUCCGACCUCCAAGGGGAGGCAGCGGAGGGAAUUCUUCGGCAUUGGGCGAAGGCCUGACGGGGCAACGCGGCGGAAGUAAUAAGGGUCUUCGAUUCGUAAACCUCGGUUAUUGGGGAAAAACAUUUGUGUAGUAACUGUGCACAUCUUGACGGUACCUAAUCAGAAAGCCACGGCUAACUACGUG
rnacentral:rRNA from 1 species